AUAUCAAUAAGCGGAGGAAAAGAAACCAACAGGGAUUACCUCAGUAACGGCGAGUGAAGCGGUAACAGCUCAAAUUUGAAAUCUGGCUCUUUCAGGGUCCGAGUUGUAAUUUGUAGAAGAUGCUUUGGGCAUUGCUCCGGUCUAAGUUCCUUGGAACAGGACGUCAUAGAGGGUGAGAAUCCCGUAUGUGACUGGUGGCAUUUGUCCGUGUAAAGCUCUUUCGACGAGUCGAGUUGUUUGGGAAUGCAGCUCAAAAUGGGUGGUAUAUUUCAUCUAAAGCUAAAUAUUGGCCAGAGACCGAUAGCGCACAAGUAGAGUGAUCGAAAGAUGAAAAGCACUUUGGAAAGAGAGUUAAACAGUAC
rnacentral:rRNA from 1 species